rnacentral:RNase_P_RNA from 1 species
CCAGAUAAUCGGAUGACCGCUUUAUGAAAAUAAAGAGGAAAGUCCGGGCUCCACAAGAGUAUGGUGCCGGGUAAUCCCCGGCGAGGGCAACCUCAGGGAAAGUGCCGCAGAAAAUAUACCGCCUUAGGGUAAGGGUGAAAAGGUAGGGUAAGAGCCUACCGCAUUUUUGGUAACAAAAAUGGCAUGGUAAACCCCACUAGGAGCAAGAUCGAAUAGAGUUAAUAUAGCUUUCUCUUGGCUUUAACUGGGUUGAUCGCAUGAUUUGAGUGGUAACACUCAAGCAAGAUGAAUGGUCAUCAUUUUUUCUANAAAAAAUACAGAACCCGGCUUAUAGAUUAUCUGGCAUU